rnacentral:rRNA from 1 species
GAUGAACGCUGGCGGCGUGCUUAACACAUGCAAGUCGAACGAAGCACUUUAUUUGAUUUCCUUCGGGACUGAUUAUUUUGUGACUGAGUGGCGGACGGGUGAGUAACGCGUGGGUAAACUGCCUUGUACAGGGGGAUAACAGUUGGAAACGGCUGCUAAUACCGCAUAAGCGCACAGCAUCGCAUGAUGCAGUGUGAAAAACUCCGGUGGUAUAAGAUGGACCCGCGUUGGAUUAGCUAGUUGGUGAGGUAACGGCCCACCAAGGCGACGAUCCAUAGCCGACCUGGGAGGGUGACCGGCCACAUUGGGACUGAGACACGGCCCAAACUCCUACGGGAGGCAGCAGUGGGGAAUAUUGCACAAUGGGCGAAAGCCUGAUGCAGCGACGCCGCGUGAGCGAAGAAGUAUUUCGGUAUGUAAAGCUCUAUCAGCAGGGAAGAUAAUGACGGUACCUGACUAAGAAGCACCGGCUAAAUACGUG